AUCCUUUUAGUAGUUCAUAAGCCUGAUGGUUGGGUUUUCAUGAGCAUGCGUGAGAUGGGACUCCCACAAAUCUCGUUACGACGUUGGCACCUUACCCACCUGGCA
ensembl:snoRNA